rnacentral:rRNA from 1 species
ACAUGCAAGUCGAACGAACUCUGGUAUUGAUUGGUGCUUGCAUCAUGAUUUACAUUUGAGUGAGUGGCGAACUGGUGAGUAACACGUGGGAAACCUGCCCAGAAGCGGGGGAUAACACCUGGAAACAGAUGCUAAUACCGCAUAACAACUUGGACCGCAUGGUCCGAGCUUGAAAGAUGGCUUCGGCUAUCACUUUUGGAUGGUCCCGCGGCGUAUUAGCUAGAUGGUGGGGUAACGGCUCACCAUGGCAAUGAUACGUAGCCGACCUGAGAGGGUAAUCGGCCACAUUGGGACUGAGACACGGCCCAAACUCCUACGGGAGGCAGCAGUAGGGAAUCUUCCACAAUGGACGAAAGUCUGAUGGAGCAACGCCGCGUGAGUGAAGAAGGGUUUCGGCUCGUAAAACUCUGUUGUUAAAGAAGAACAUAUCUGAGAGUAACUGUUCAGGUAUUGACGGUAUUUAACCAGAAAGCCACGGCUAACUACGUGCCAGCAGCCGCGGUAAUACGUAGGUGGCAAGCGUUGUCCGGAUUUAUUGGGCGUAAAGCGAGCGCAGGCGGUUUUUUAAGUCUGAUGUGAAAGCCUUCGGCUCAACCGAAGAAGUGCAUCGGAAACUGGGAAACUUGAGUGCAGAAGAGGACAGUGGAACUCCAUGUGUAGCGGUGAAAUGCGUAGAUAUAUGGAAGAACACCAGUGGCGAAGGCGGCUGUCUGGUCUGUAACUGACGCUGAGGCUCGAAAGUAUGGGUAGCAAACAGGAUUAGAUACCCUGGUAGUCCAUACCGUAAACGAUGAAUGCUAAGUGUUGGAGGGUUUCCGCCCUUCAGUGCUGCAGCUAACGCAUUAAGCAUUCCGCCUGGGGAGUACGGCCGCAAGGCUGAAACUCAAAGGAAUUGACGGGGGCCCGCACAAGCGGUGGAGCAUGUGGUUUAAUUCGAAGCUACGCGAAGAACCUUACCAGGUCUUGACAUACUAUGCAAAUCUAAGAGAUUAGACGUUCCCUUCGGGGACAUGGAUACAGGUGGUGCAUGGUUGUCGUCAGCUCGUGUCGUGAGAUGUUGGGUUAAGUCCCGCAACGAGCGCAACCCUUAUUAUCAGUUGCCAGCAUUAAGUUGGGCACUCUGGUGAGACUGCCGGUGACAAACCGGAGGAAGGUGGGGAUGACGUCAAAUCAUCAUGCCCCUUAUGACCUGGGCUACACACGUGCUACAAUGGAUGGUACAACGAGUUGCGAACUCGCGAGAGUAAGCUAAUCUCUUAAAGCCAUUCUCAGUUCGGAUUGUAGGCUGCAACUCGCCUACAUGAAGUCGGAAUCGCUAGUAAUCGCGGAUCAGCAUGCCGCGGUGAAUACGUUCCCGGGCCUUGUACACACCGCCCGUCACACCAUGAGAGUUUGUAACACCCAAAGUCGGUGGGGUAACCUUUUAGGAACCAGCCGCCUAAG